UUGGUUGUUGGGGGAUAUAAUUUGUCUGCGUCUAGGACACUUGAGUGAAUGUGCAGUAGAGGCCUUAUUUUCUGACACCACAUGCGUCCUAGGCUCCAGUACCCUAUUAACUGUGUCUGUUCUAUGCCUUUCAGCUCGGAAGUCUUUCACUUUGAUUGAAGCACAUCAGCACUAAGUAGCUCUGAUUUUCCCCAUCAUCUAUUCACACACCAGCUGCCACUCUCUCUUCCUUUCGUUGGGCAGCUUUGCUACCAUUUAGAACAGCUGAGCAGAAAGGUGCUGAGGUCACAGAAAUCCAUCCUGAAAAUACCUCACCACCUCUCAGAGUGUGUUUCAUGGGGUUUCCCUUUGUCUUCAGAUGCUGGAACCUGCUGCGGGGUUGAAGAGCCAAGCCUGAACUUGGCUAUUUUGAUGAAAGAUUCUGCUUUCAUAGGUGCUUCUACUAAGGUACCUUCUAGCUGCUCAAAUAAACGGCACAGAGGUUCCCA
rnacentral:lncRNA from 1 species